UACGUAGGGUGCAAGCGUUGUCCGGAAUUAUUGGGCGUAAAGGGCUCGUAGGCGGUUUGUCGCGUCGGGAGUGAAAUCCACUGGCUUAACUGGUGGCUUGCUUUCGAUACGGGCAGACUGGAGGUAUGCAGGGGAGAACGGAAUUCCUGGUGUAGCGGUGAAAUGCGCAGAUAUCAGGAGGAACACCGGUGGCGAAGGCGGUUCUCUGGGCAUGUCCUGACGCUGAGGAGCGAAAGUGUGGGGGGAGCGAACAGG
rnacentral:rRNA from 1 species